rnacentral:rRNA from 1 species
ACCCAAAAAUUCACUCUGAACAUGCCUGAUCUUGUCUGACCUCAGAAGCUAAGCAGGGUCUGGCUUGGUUAGUACUUGGAUGGGAAACACUCAAAAGUUCAGAGAUCUUCUAGGUU